rnacentral:misc_RNA from 1 species
UUUCCGUAGGUGAACCUGCGGAAGGAUCAUUAAUGAGUUGUCAUGGGGUUCGAUGCUGGCAGCCAAUUUUUGGAUGCAUGUGCUUGCCCUAACAAUCAACUUCCAAACACCUGUGCACAUUUUUGAGGGAGUCUUGAGUUGGUUGCCGCUCUUGGGUGAUUUUCUCACAUUCCCUUAAAUCAUUAUACGCUAUUAACAAUGUUGAACGUGCUCUGUGCCGCAAGGCUAUUAAUAUAAUACAACUUUUAACAACGGAUCUCUUGGCUCUC